rnacentral:rRNA from 1 species
GUGUCAGCAUCCGCGGUAAUACGGAGGGUGCGAGCGUUAAUCGGGAUUACUGGGCGUAAAGCGCAUGCAGGUGGAGGAUUAAGUCAGAUGUGAAAGCCCGGGGCUCAACCUCGGAAUUGCAUUUGAAACUGGCAGGCUAGAGUACUGUAGAGGGGGGUAGAAUUUCAGGUGUAGCGGUGAAAUGCGUAGAGAUCUGAAGGAAUACCGGUGGCGAAGGCGGCCCCCUGGACAGAUACUGACACUCAGAUGCGAAAGCGUGGGGAGCAAACAGGAUUAGAAACCCCUGUAGUGC